AUGCUGCAGCUUUCUUCAGAUGCAAGUAGCUGGUGGAAACCCUUGAAUCAGUAAGAGGGCAAAGAGAAUUGUGCGAGAACGAUUCAGUGUAUUGAGUUAUUCACAGUCAUUGUGUUUGACUGUGUCCUACUGACAUGGUAUUCUGCUCUGAAAGAUAUUGGAAAUCAUUUUUACUGAUGGAACUGGAAUGAAACAAUGAGUCAAUCACAUGAGACAGCGGAUUCGCUGACACUGAAGUGCCUGUUCUGCUUUCGUCUGUAAUACAUCCUCUGAGGAGGAAAGCAAAGGACAGUUCAUGGAAGGAAAGAAGAGCAUGUGGUCUCCCUGCUGUGUUGCUGUAUCCUUACUGUAUGUGUGAAGCACAGAGAAAUGAAAGAACUCCUAAUAGCUCUUCCUGGAUGAUCAUACAGCACUAGUCAAAAUUCAGUCUAGUGAAAGUGCUUCUCACGAUGCAUAAGGAAGUGUGAUCAUCCCAUCAAAACAUGAGAGGAUGUUACUAAUCUGUAUGAAAAAGGCUGAUGGAGUAUGAUAUCCUGCCAGCUGUGGCUUAGAAUUCUCCCUUCUUUCAUUUGAAUUACGAAGCAGGAAAAAACAUCAUCAGUGCAGGGUAUGGAAACG